rnacentral:lncRNA from 1 species
GGCAAAAAUUAUUUCUAUGUGUAUUAUUUUUUAUUGAAAAAAUUUUAAAAAAAAGAAAAGAAUCUCUUUGGGAUACAAUCAUAAUAGUGGUAUUGCUGGAUCAAAGGGUAUGGGUAGUUUUAAAUACCUUCAAAUAUAGUUCCAAAUUGCUCUCCAGAAUGGUUGGAUCAGUUCACAACUCCACCAACAGUUCAUUAGUGUCCCAAUUUUCCCAUAACUCCUCAAGAUCUUUUUGAAAUAAUCUUGCCCUGUUUUAGCCAAGCAUGAUGGUUGACGACAAUUGAAUAGAGAGUAGCUUAGAAUCCUAAGCAUAAUGGAAUUAUGGAAAUCUCUAUUGCUGUUAAACUCUUGAAUCUCAAGUUAUAUGUUAUAAACCUAACCAAGGAUUUCUAGUCAAGAUGAUGGUAUGAAUGAGAAACAAGCUCCUCAGCUUCCAGAUACCUGUGGAAAACUACAGCAAAAACCUGAAGAUAACACUAGACUAAAUAAUGAUUAAGAAAUCCAAUGAGUAACUCAUUAACUGAUUUCCACCAGACAAUUACACAAGAGAUGCCCAAAGGGUGAUAAGAAAAGGGAUCUGCCAGCAAAGAUAGAGCCAGUGUAAGGAGUUUCCCAGUGCAACCAGAAAUGACUCAAACACGUGCAACCUGUAGGACUUUUUGUGCAGAGGCAGCAAGAGUAAAGGGCUCUCUUGAGGAAAGGAGUCAGAAUAGCAAGAAAGUUCUGAGUCAUUGUGAAGAUGGAGUCAGGAGAAAAUUGAGUUUGAACUAUUCCUAUGACUCUUACCAGCUAUGUUUCCAUGGACAAGUCACCUAACACUUCUGAAUCUCAUUUUUUUCUCAUCUAUAAAAUGAAGGGGAUUUUUUCUAAUAUUCAUAGUAUCUGUUUUUCAGUUAUUAUGAAGCUCAAAUGAGAUGAUGGAGAUAAAGUAUUUAUAGACCUCAGAAUGCUAUAAAAUGGUCAUCUUGGAAAUUAUUGUUGUUGUUAUUUUCAUUAGCGUAGGCUCAGUAAAUUCUGAUCUUCCACUAAUAUAACCUUCAGAAUUAUAGUCAAUAAGGUUUAUGGUGCUUCAGAUUGAAAGAUAUUUUCUUGCUUUUAAUUUUUUCCCCAGAACAUGGCUAAUGUGGAAAUAUAUUUUGCCUAACUUUGUAUGUAUAAUGGAUAUUGUAUAUCUUGCCUUCUCAAUGAAUGGAGAAAGUGAAGGGAAGGAGUGCUCAGAACUGAAAAUAAAUUUUAUUUGAAGACUUUAGAGUUUUUUUUU